rnacentral:rRNA from 1 species
AUUGAACGCUGGCGGCAUGCUUUACACAUGCAAGUCGAACGGCAGCACGGGUGCUUGCACCUGGUGGCGAGUGGCGGACGGAUGAGUAAUACAUCGGAACGUGUCCUGAAGUGGGGGAUAACGCAUCGAAAGAUGUGCUAAUACCGCAUAUACUCUGAGGAGUAAAGUAGGGGAUCGAAAGACCUUAUGCUUUUUGGAGCGGCCGAUGUCUGAUUAGCUAGUUGGUGGGGUAAUUGCCCACCAAGGCGACGAUCAGUAGUUGGUCUGAGAGGACGACCAGCCACACUGGGACUGAGACACGGCCCAGACUCCUACGGGAGGCAGCAGUGGGGAAUUUUGGACAAUGGGCGCAAGCCUGAUCCAGCAAUGCCGCGUGCGGGAAGAAGGCC